rnacentral:rRNA from 1 species
CUACGUAGGGUGCGAGCGUUGUCCGGAAUUACUGGGCGUAAAGAGCUCGUAGGUGGUUUGUCGCGUCGUCUGUGAAAUUCCGGGGCUUAACUCCGGGCGUGCAGGCGAUACGGGCAUAACUUGAGUACUGUAGGGGAGACUGGAAUUCCUGGUGUAGCGGUGAAAUGCGCAGAUAUCAGGAGGAACACCGGUGGCGAAGGGGGGUCUCUGGGCAGUAACUGACGCUGAGGAGCGAAAGCAUGGGUAGCUAACAGGAUUAGAUAUCCUGGUAGUCCAUGCCGUAAACGGUGGGCGCUAGGUGUAGGGGUCUUCCACGACUUCUGUGCCGUAGCUAACGCAUUAAGCGCCCCGCCUGGGGAGUACGGCCGCAAGGCUAAAACUCAAAUGAAUUGACGGGG